GAUGAACGCUGGCGGCGUGCCUAAUACAUGCAAGUCGAGCGAACAGACGAGGAGCUUGCUCCUCUGACGUUAGCGGCGGACGGGUGAGUAACACGUGGAUAACCUACCUAUAAGACUGGGAUAACUUCGGGAAACCGGAGCUAAUACCGGAUAAUAUAUUGAACCGCAUGGUUCAAUAGUGAAAGACGGUUUUGCUGUCACUUAUAGAUGGAUCCGCGCCGCAUUAGCUAGUUGGUAAGGUAACGGCUUACCAAGGCAACGAUGCGUAGCCGACCUGAGAGGGUGAUCGGCCACACUGGAACUGAGACACGGUCCAGACUCCUACGGGAGGCAGCAGUAGGGAAUCUGCCGCAAUGGGCGAAAGCCUGACGGAGCAACGCCGCGUGAGUGAUGAAGGUCUUCGGAUCGUAAAACUCUGUUAUUAGGGAAGAACAAAUGUGUAAGUAACUAUGCACGUCUUGACGGUACCUAAUCAGAAAGACACGGCUAACUACGUG
rnacentral:rRNA from 1 species